rnacentral:rRNA from 1 species
CCUANGGGAGGCUGCAGUCGAGAAUCUUCUGCAAUGGGCGCAAGCCUGACAGAGCGACGCCGCGUGGAGGACGAAGGCCCUCGGGUUGUAAACUCCUGUCACAUGUUAUGAACCACAUGGGUUGCACCCAUGUCUGACAAAAGCAUGAGAGGAAGUCACGGCUAACUUCGUGCCAGCAGCCGCGGUAAGACGAAGGUGGCUAGCGUUAUUCGGAUUUACUGGGCAUAAAGCGCGCGUAGGCGGCUCGACAAGUCGAAGGUGAAAGCCUGCAGCUCAACUGCGGUGUGCCUGCGAAACUGUCGAGCUUGAGUGCAGGAGGGGUGAUUGGAACUCCAGGUGUAGCGGUGAAAUGCGUAGAUAUCUGGAGGAACACCAGAGGCGAAGGCGAAUCACUGGACUGCAACUGACGCUGAGGCGCGAAAGCUAGGGGAGCAAACAGGAUUAGAUACCCUANUANUC